UGUACCACGAGCUAUCACGAAAUUAUGCUGGGCCAAAAGGUGUUUAUACAGUAGUUUCUUCCUGUGCUGCGUUGUGCACGUCUGUUUCAUCAUCUGAGCUAUCAGUUGUGUUUCUUUGAAGCAAAGAUGUAUAGAAUAGCACUGAAAGUCGGAGGUGUCAUAUUUGUUCAACCUGGUGUUAAACGUAAUUUCAAUUCUUGACCAGUGCAUGUAAAGAAAUUGAAAAUAAAACCGACUUGACUUGACUUGUCAUUGGGUCUGAUUUUAAAUGUGCCAUAUAGUUCAAUGUGGGAGCAGGUUCACACACUAAAUAAGACACUAAGGUCAAGCACAAGCAGAUUAAAAAAAAAUAAAAAUUCUCAGAGCAGAUUAGAGCAGACGUUUCAGGUUGCUGCCAUCAGAGAGUAUUGACUUGACCUUAGUGUCUUUAGUGUGCUCCCACAUUGAGCUCUACUUUUUGGGUCCAUGCACCUACUUAUUUCUAAACAUCUAGAGCGCAACAAUACCCCUGCCUCCUGAUAUGCCAUAUAACCUGUAUCUCUCCAAGUGUGUGUGUGUGUGUGUGUGUGUGUGUGUGUGUGUGUGUGUGUGUGUGUGUGUGUGUGUGUGUGUGUGUGUGUGUGUGUGUGUGUGUGUGUGUGAGAGAAUGUGUGCACGCAGAUAUAAGAAGUUGGGGUUGAUGAUCCACAUGAUGGUGAUGGACCAGGACAGCUCUGGACCUCCUGACUGGCAGCUCCAUCCUCAACCUCUCUUCCUGCCCUUCACACAUGUGCAGGCAGCCAGUUUUCUGAAAGAUGGUUGAUGUCAGUACCAACAUGUUGUGAUGGAGGCUUCCACCUGAGCUGAACACAGAAACUUGCACACAGUGAUGGAAGCAGUCGUUCCUGUUCAGCAUCGAUAUGCCAGUAAUGGGUUUGAUGAGCCACAGCAUGGUGAUGGGCAAUCAGCAUCAGGACCAGGGCAGCUCACAAGGAGAACCUCCUGCCCUGCCUCGUCAUCCUCAACCUCCCAUCUCCCUGCUCUUCACACAUGUGCAGGCACGGAGCCAGUUUUCAGAGGGAGGGC